CCAGAGGUAAUGAGGACCUGGUUGGAAAAGAGUUUCUGAGCGCUUCUCUGAGGAUCUUUGAAACCACCUGAUCUAUUCUUA
ensembl:snoRNA